ensembl:lncRNA
CUCAUUCAACAUAGCCUAAGGUGAUUCUGAUGCUCAUCCACCAAAACACACAAGACAAUUUAGUGUCUUUAAAUGGAUUAAACGAGCAUUCUGGCAUGUGGAUCUACCAAACAGAUUUAGAAUGCAUUAAAGAUUUUGAAGAAUUUCCAUAAUCAAAUCACUCUGUUGCUAAAUACUGCAUGGGUCAAAAGACAAAUUUUACUAAAAAAAAAAAAAUAAAUAAAAAAAAUUCCAAUUCUACUUUGAAGACAACAAAACAAGCUAUUACCUAUCCAGCAAAACACUGUACUAAUCAGUGCUGAGAAGGUGUUUCUGCUAUGCCAGUACUACGAAAAAAAUAAAAAUAAUAAUCUGACGCUGUUCAGGGAACAUGUUGGAGUCAUGAGGAAACAUUUAACAGUCUUUAAUCAAGGAAACACUGGGAAUAAUCCAGAACAGGUGCUUGAGCAACACACGUAAACAAGUAGAAAGUAACAAGUAGAAACACAGCUGCAUGGGAUGACUAAUCAAAUUAAGACAAAACGAGGACAGGAACAAGACCAAAUAUGGGCAUCAGGAAACACGAGGGAGAACUAAAUACACACAAAACACAGAACAGAGUCUGACAUAACUCCCCCCUCCCGGAAGGUGUGUCCUGCACCAUACAAUAUCCAAUGGGUAGGGGGGGUGGGCGCUCUGGAGGCCUCUUGGAGCAGGGUUCAAGGACAGAAGGCCUCCAGGGUGGUGCCUGUUCCAGGAUCCAUGGCAGAGCAGGCAGUCUAGGAGGCCAUGUCGGAGCAGGCAGCUCGGGGAGCCAUAGCGGCACCUGACGCCCUCUUGGGGCAAAAAUCAGGGACUGGAGCCUUCUUUAGGCUUAACUGAGGAUUAAGAGCCCUCCUUGGGCUUAACUGGGGAUCCAGAGCCAUCCCUGGGCUUAACUCAGGCAUAGGAGCCCUCACCAGGCUAGAUUCGGGGGCUGAAGCCGACACUGGAGCGAGCUCUGGGGCCUAUAUAGAUGCGAGGAUGAGGGCUGCUCCUCGUCCCCCUCUUACAGUUGGGGUUAAUUUGGACAUCCAGUGGGCUUGAGUAAGUGGCAGACUGUAUAGACUUCAGAGUGGCCGACGCUCCACAGUUGAGAACUAUGGUGGAGUUUCAGAGGGCAGCGGGAAUUUGGGGUUGGGCAGGUGGUAGGAGCCGUUAGAGAGGUAUGCGGGGGUUCUCGAUGCGGGGUAAGCUGGGGAGACGCAGCGUGUUCCAGCGGGAGCUGGAUGACAAGGCUUGGGAUGUUCCUUUAUUUCUUCAACUUCAAAUUCGGAACCAUUUAAGAAAAGCACAAGAUUAAUCAGCUUGCUCAGGAAAACUCUGGACAUUUUACAGCAGAUUGUCUUGUCAUCCAACCCCAGCAGGAAGCAUGCACCUAGAGCAGCGUCGUGCCAGCUCUCCUGGUGGGUGAGCUCGAGAAAACCCUCCACAUAUCACUUCAACCUCAGGACGCCCUGCUACAAACCCCACAGUGCGUCCUCAGCUGCAGUCAUACUCUUGUUGGGUCGGGUCUUCUGUCACAUCAUGCUGUUCAGGGAACAUGCUGGAGUCACGAGGAAACAUUUAACAGUCUUUAAUCAAGGAAACUCUGCGAAUAAUCCACAACAGGCGCUUGAGCAAUAUACGUAAACAACAAGUG